rnacentral:rRNA from 1 species
GACGAACGCUGGCGGCGUGCCUAAUACAUGCAAGUCGAGCGGACCAAAGGGAGCUUGCUCCUGGAGGUUAGCGGCGAACGGGUGAGUAACACGUGGGCAACCUGCCUGUAAGACUGGGAUAACAUCGAGAAAUCGGUGCUAAUACCGGAUAAUAAAAAGAACUGCAUGGUUCUUUUUUGAAAGAUGGUUUCGGCUAUCACUUACAGAUGGGCCCGCGGCGCAUUAGCUAGUUGGUGAGGUAACGGCUCACCAAGGCGACGAUGCGUAGCCGACCUGAGAGGGUGAUCGGCCACACUGGGACUGAGACACGGCCCAGACUCCUACGGGAGGCAGCAGUAGGGAAUCUUCCGCAAUGGACGAAAGUCUGACGGAGCAACGCCGCGUGAGUGAUGAAGGUUUUCGGAUCGUAAAACUCUGUUGUUAGGGAAGAACAAGUGCCGUUCGAAAGGGCGGCACCUUGACGGUACCUAACGAGAAAGCCACGGCUAACUACGUGCCAGCAGCCGACGG